UACGUAGGGUGCAAGCGUUGUCCGGAAUUAUUGGGCGUAAAGAGCUUGUAGGCGGCGCGGUAAGUCGGGUGUGAAAUCUCGGAGCUUAACUCCGAAACUGCAUUCGAUACUGCCGUGCUUGAGGACUGGAGAGGAGACUGGAAUUUACGGUGUAGCGGUGAAAUGCGUAGAUAUCGUAAGGAAGACCAGUGGCGAAGGCGGGUCUCUGGACAGUUCCUGACGCUGAGGCACGAAGGUCAGGGGAGCAAACGGG
rnacentral:rRNA from 1 species